rnacentral:rRNA from 1 species
GGUUACUGCUAUCAGUAUUCGAUUAAGCCAUGCGAGUCAAAUGUUCUUCGUGAACAUGGCGAACUGCUCAGUAACACGUGGAUAACCCGCCCUAAGGUUCGGCAUAACACCGGGAAACUGGUGAUAAUUCCGAAUAAACCAGAUGUGCUGGAAUGCUUUCUGGUUAAAAGCUUCGGUGCCUUAGGAUGGAUCUGCGGCCUAUCAGGUAGUAGUGGGUGUAAUGUACCUACUAGCCUACGACGGGUACGGGUUGUGAGAGCAAGAGCCCGGAGAUGGAUUCUGAGACAUGAAUCCAGGCCCUACGGGGCGCAGCAGGCGCGAAAAUUUUACAAUGCGGGAAACCGCGAUAAGGGGAUACUGAGUGCCAGCAUUUAUGUUGGCUGUCCACAUGUCUAAAUCGCAUGUGUUAGCAAGGGCCGGGCAAGACCGGUGCCAGCCGCCGCGGUAACACCGGCGGCCCGAGUGGUAACCACUAUUAUUGGGUCUAAAGGGUCCGUAGCCGGUUUGAUCAGUCUUCCGGGAAAUCUGACAGCUCAACUGUUAGGCUUCUGGGGGAUACUGUCAGACUUGGGACCGGGAGAGGUAAGAGGUACUACAGGGGUAGGAGUGAAAUCUUGUAAUCCCUGUGGGACCACCAGUGGCGAAGGCGUCUUACCAGAACGGGUCCGACGGUGAGGGACGAAAGCUGGGGGCACGAACCGGAUUAGAUACCCGGGUAGUCCCAGCCGUAAACGAUGCUCGCUAGGUGUCUGGGACGGUGCGACAGUUUCAGGUGCCGCAGGGAAGCCGUGAAGCGAGCCACCUGGGAAGUACGGCCGCAAGGCUGAAAC